CACAUGAGUGGUAAGCAUUAUCCGUAUUAAUUGGGUGUAAAGGAUGCGUAGAUGGUAAAAGUAGUUAUACUAUACUAUAACGGUAAACCGGGACAAUAGUAUAAAACCUUUUUACUUGAGUUUUUUAGAAGUCUAUAAUACUUGCAAAUUAGCGAUAAAAUGCGACGAAUUUGUGAAGAUUUCCAUAUAUGAAAAUGAUAGGCUUUUUAAAACUGACAUUGAGGCAUGAAGGUUGGGGUAUCGAACAGGAAUUGUUUCCCUAUUAGUCCUAACUGUAAACGAUGAAUAUUAAAUUUUAUAAAAAAAUUUUAGCUAACGCGUAAAAUAUUCCACCUGGGGGGUACAGUCGCAAGAUUGAAACUUAACAGAAUUGGCGGGAAUUUGUUCAAACGGUGGAACAUGUGGUUUAAUGCGAUAAUCCACGCAAAACCUUACCAAUGUUUGUAGUUUUUUGCAUUGUUAUUAGUUGACUAUAAUUAAUUAUGCAAUUAGCAUAUAGUACUGCAUGGCUGUCGUCAGUUCGUGCUUUGAGGUAUGGAAUUAAGUUUCAUAACGAUCGCAACCCGAAGAACUAUUAUUAAUUUAAUUCUUUUAACUUAUUGUAAGUUAAGUUUUAUUUUUGAUAGUGUAGGUUUUUUUACCUCUCUUGUUAGUAAUAACAAAUGAUGUAAUUAAACGUAAGAGGGGCUGAAGUCAAGUCAUUAUGGUCUGAGUACACUGGGCUACACACGUGUUACAAAGGUGAAAACAAAGAGUCACAAAUGUUUAAUCUUGAGUGAAUCUCAAAAAAUCAUCACAGUUCUGAUUGUUUUCUGAAAUUCGAAAGCAUGAAGCUGAAAUCGUUAGUAAUCGUAAAUUAGUAAGUUACGGUGAAUGCUAUGUCAAAUUUUGCACACACCGCCCAUCACGCUCAGAAAAGUUUGUUGGUUUAAGCUUCCGGUAAAUUAUUUUUGAUUUUUUGUGAAAUUUUUUGUUUCAAUUAAAAUCUAAUUAUUAUAGUACAUUAGUACAAAAAAAUAAUUUUAAUGGAAAUAUGCGCCCAAGACUGACUCGCUAAUUUGAGUGAAGUUG
rnacentral:rRNA from 1 species